AUACGUAGGUGGCAAGCGUUGUCCGGAAUUACUGGGUGUAAAGGGAGCGUAGGCGGGACUGCAAGUUGGAUGUUAAAUCUAUCGGCUCAACCGGUAGCUGCAUUCAAAACUGUGGUUCUUGAGUGAAGUAGAGGCAGGCGGAAUUCCUAGUGUAGCGGUGAAAUGCGUAGAUAUUAGGAGGAACACCAGUGGCGAAGGCGGCCUGCUGGGCUUUUACUGACGCUGAGGCUCGAAAGCGUGGGUAGCAAACAGGAUUAGAUACCCUGGUAGUCCACGCCGUAAACGAUGAUUACUAGGUGUGGGGGGUCUGACCCCUUCCGUGCCGGAGUUAACACAAUAAGUAAUCCACCUGGGGAGUACGGCCGCAAGGUUGAA
rnacentral:rRNA from 1 species